rnacentral:rRNA from 1 species
GAUGAACGCUGGCGGCGUGCCUAAUACAUGCAAGUCGAGCGAACGGACGAGAAGCUUGCUUCUCUGAUGUUAGCGGCGGACGGGUGAGUAACACGUGGAUAACCUACCUAUAAGACUGGGAUAACUUCGGGAAGCCGGAGCUAAUACCGGAUGAUAUUUUGAACCGCAUGGUUCAAAAGUGAAAGACGGUCUUGCUGUCACUUAUAGAUGGAUCCGCGCUGCAUUAGCUAGUUGGUAAGGUAACGGCUUACCAAGGCAACGAUGCAUAGCCGACCUGAGAGGGUGAUCGGCCACACUGGAACUGAGACACGGUCCAGACUCCUACGGGAGGCAUCAGUAGGGAAUCUUCCGCAAUGGGCGAAAGCCUGACGGAGCAACGCCGCGUGAGUGAUGAAGGUCUUCGGAUCGUAAAACUCUGUUAUUAGGGAAGAACAUAUGUGUAAGUAACUGUGCACAUCUUGACGGUACCUAAUCAGAAAGCCACGGCUAACUACGUG